AUUGAACGCUGGCGGCAUGCCUUACACAUGCAAGUCGAACGGCAGCACGGGAGCAAUCCUGGUGGCGAGUGGCGAACGGGUGAGUAAAGUAUCGGAACGUGCCAGUCGUGGGGGAUAACGUAGCGAAAGUUACGCUAAUACCGCAUACGAUCUAUGGAUGAAAGCGGGGGAUCGCAAGACCUCGCGCGAUUGGAGCGGCUGAUAUCAGAUUAGGUAGUUGGUGGGGUAAAGGCUCACCAAGCCGACGAUCUGUAGCUGGUCUGAGAGGACGACCAGCCACACUGGGACUGAGACACGGCCCAGACUCCUACGGGAGGCAGCAGUGGGGAAUUUUGGACAAUGGGCGCAAGCCUGAUCCAGCCAUGCCGCGUGCAGGAUGAAGGCCUUCGGGUUGUAAACUGCUCUUGUACGGAACGAAAAGGUUUGGCCUAAUAAGCUGGACCCAUGACGGUACCGUAAGAAUAAGCACCGGCUAACUACGUGCCAGCCGCCGCUGUAA
rnacentral:rRNA from 1 species